rnacentral:rRNA from 1 species
UACGGAGGGGGCUAGCGUUGUUCGGAAUUACUGGGCGUAAAGCGCGCGUAGGCGGACCUGCAAGUCGGGGGUGAAAGCCCGAGGCUCAACCUCGGAACUGCCUUCGAUACUGCGGGUCUCGAGUCCGGGAGAGGUGAGUGGAAUUCCUAGUGUAGAGGUGAAAUUCGUAGAUAUUAGGAAGAACACCAGUGGCGAAGGCGGCUCACUGGCCCGGUACUGACGCUGAGGCGCGAAAGCGUGGGUAGCAAACGGG